CCUCAGAACAUCUUUCUUUUCCUUACUACUUUAUUUUCAUUUUUUACAGAUCCUACAGCUCAGGGCUUUGUCACAAAUUGCAAGCUCACACCUGGAUGCUGGUCAGAUGAGGAGACUGGAAAAGGAAAAAGAAACAUCCAUGGAGUAGUUCCCAAACAUAGCAUCUUGAGCUGCCAUAUGGACACUGGAAAAGCCCCUAUGGUGUUUCUCUUCAUCUCUCAUCUGACUCUCUACAGCUUCUCCUCAAGGUCUGCAACACUGACCUAUGGCACAUACGGUCCAAGGAUGGAGAAAAAAUGUAUGUAUCAUCAACGGAAAAAUAACCAAGUUCCCUGGCCUACUGCAAACAACCUGUGUCUCCUUGAGCUCUACUUUUGUGACAUAUUCUGUGGAAUGAUGUGACUCACGUCUGUACAUUGCUUUACAAUGUUAUGAGGAUAAAUGUAUGACACAUGGCAAUGGAAACACACUGUAAGAUUUAGAGACCAUGCAAGUGGCAAAUGGUACCACAUCUGUUCAGAGAACUAUAUGAUCCUCACUGUGAAUGUGAGUGCGAGGGAAAAAGAUACCUUAUAUGACACAUAACGUAAGGUGAAUAAUGACAUUGAUCCAAGUGAACAUAACUGCAAAAACCUGUAGAGAUACAAAGACAUUUUUGCCUAAAAUUUCUAGUGAACCUUUCACCACAAUAUUUCAAAGCAUAUCUGAGUUUGGGACUAUUAAGGGGCUUUAAAAAUGUAUUACUAAUGCAGUACCAGCCAGAAAGAAACUCUUAGUAUCAAAUUAAAAUGAGAUCACUUUGCUUUUCAGAGGUCCAGACAGAGAAAAAAUGGUGAAGUAAAAAGGACUUGUGACAUCUUACAAGUGACAGCAGUGUGUUUAUUGUCACACAAGCAUGUCUGAUCAAUCUCACGUUGCUGCUCAGGAGGUAAAGCACCCCGCUGCUGUAUACAUGUCCUGUCCUUCACUACAAGUCAUCUAAGAGUGUUUGUGCCUUGUUCACACAAAUACAAGACACCUGCCAGGCCAGACAGUGCAAACUAAUAAUCUUGUCGCUGACACUGACUUCAAUUCAGGACAAGAGGUAAUGGCCUUAAGUUAUACCAGGGGAGAUACAAGUUGGGUAUUAGGGUAUUAAUUUCUUCUCAGAAAGAGUGGUGACAUAGUAGAACAGGCUGCCCAGGGAGCUGGGGGAAUCACUGUCC